AGUGAACGCUGGCGGUAGGCCUAACACAUGCAAGUCGAACGGCAGCACAGUAAGAGCUUGCUCUUACGGGUGGCGAGUGGCGGACGGGUGAGGAAUACAUCGGAAUCUACUUUUUCGUGGGGGAUAACGUAGGGAAACUUACGCUAAUACCGCAUACGACCUACGGGUGAAAGCAGGGGAUCUUCGGACCUUGCGCGAUUGAAUGAGCCGAUGUCGGAUUAGCUAGUUGGCGGGGUAAAGGCCCACCAAGGCGACGAUCCGUAGCUGGUCUGAGAGGAUGAUCAGCCACACUGGAACUGAGACACGGUCCAGACUCCUACGGGAGGCAGCAGUGGGGAAUAUUGGACAAUGGGCGCAAGCCUGAUCCAGCCAUACCGCGUGGGUGAAGAAGGCCUUCGGGCUGUAAAGCCCUUCUGUUGGGAAAGAAAAGCAGCAGGUUAAUACCCCGCUGUUCUGACGGUACCCAAAGAAUAAGCACCGGCUAACUUCGUG
rnacentral:rRNA from 1 species